GGGAAAAAUUCCAAAUUGGGUAGAGGAUAAAAGCAGCGUAGAAAAGAUACGAGGAAUAUGAGGGGAGAUGGCUGCUCCGACUCUUCUCUUUAGUCCAAGCGAGUAGGGAGAGAAGCCAAUCGAACAGAGCUGUGCCCCAACUCCCUUCGUCCUCUUGUUGGAUCUCCGAUUCCGACUCCUCGAUGAGAUUUCCAUAUCGCUUCCUGUACUAGAUUUUGAUCUUAGGCCUAUCGAAUGCUGGAUUGGGACUCUUCGAUUAUGGAUCCCAGCAGAGCAGCGUCCACGCCGAGCCACGGCCCGCCCGAUGACGGCGGAGGCCCCGCGCCCGAGUUCCCGGCCGGCCUCCGGGUGCUCCUCGUUGACGAUGACCCUACCUGCCUCAAGAUCCUUGACAGGAUGCUCCGCAAGUGCCUCUACGACGUGACGACUUGCUCGCGAGCAGCGCUGGCGCUCUCCAUCCUUCGCGAGAAGAAGGGAUGGUUCGACCUGGUUCUCAGCGAUGUGUACAUGCCGGACAUGGACGGGUUCAAGUUGCUCGAGCACAUCGGAUUGGAGAUGGAUCUUCCUGUCAUCAUGAUGUCCGCUGAUGACCAGAAGGAUGUUGUCAUGAAAGGUGUCACACAUGGAGCUUGUGAUUAUAUCAUAAAGCCGGUUAGGAUGGAAUCCUUGAAGAAUAUAUGGCAGCAUGUGGUGAGGAAGAAAAGGAAUGAAUUGAAGGAGUUGGAGAAUUCUGGGAGUGUGGAGGAGGACGACAAGCACAAGCGAAGUCUGGAUGAUGGGGAUAAUGCUUCCUCUGGGUGUGUCGGGAAUUGGAAGAAUGCAAAGAGAAAAAAGGAAGAGAAGGACGAGGAGGAGGAAGAGAUGGUCGAAGAGCAUGAUGACUCUUCUAGUACGAAGAAGCCAAGGGUUGUAUGGUCUGUUGAUCUCCACCAACAAUUUGUGACUGCUGUCAAUCAAUUGGGUGUUGACAAAGCUGUUCCAAAGAAAAUUCUUGAGUUGAUGAAUGUGGCUGGACUUACUAGGGAAAAUGUUGCAAGUCACUUGCAGAAAUAUCGCUUGUACUUGAGGAGAGUAAGUGUGCCACAGCAUCACGGCAGAUUUGAUGCACAUUUUGCAAGUGCCCAGGAAGUAACUUAUAAUAAUUCAAUUGGUUCAGUUAGUGGAUAUGAUUUUCAAGCUCUUGCUGCUUCUACUCAGCUUCUACCACAAAAUAUAGCAGCUCUACAUUCAGGUCCAAGAAGUGCUACAAAUACUGGCAUGGGGGUGUCUGCUAUUGAUCAACUCAGUUUUCUUAGUUCUGGUAAACAAGUUACAAACUCUUCAAACAUAAUAUCUUCAUCCGUGCAGCAAAUAAACAGCAGACAAAUGAGUGACGUCCAUGGACCCUCCAACAAUAUUGAGUUAAACCAACUUGGGCAGUCACAGCAAGUGGUUCAACCAUUUGGAAGUAUUAACCAGCAAUUUGGGGAAGGAACUACAAAUCUUUUUAGUUUACCAUCUUCAGAACUAACCAACUUCUCAUUACCUAGAGGUACCAUCAAUGAACAACUGAACAAUUCUUUAGCCAGGCACAUGAAUCAGCAUGGACAACAAUUUCCUAUAUCUCAGCAAAGGAGCAAUAUGGAUAUCACAUUGCAAGGACUGCCACGAUCAAGGGGACAAUUACUGACUGAAACUGCCUGUCAUGAUUCUAGACUUGUGUCAGCCUUAUUGCAACAAGUACCUCCUAAUAAUAUUCCAAAUCAUGUCUCUGGACGGCUUGAAACCAGUGCAAAUAUGCUUACAUCCUUGCCUGCCAACUAUUUGAAUGCUUCAUGUAGUACGUCUCCCCAAGCUCUCUAUCCUGAUGUACAUAAUAGCUUCAUAACUGGAUUACCUGGAAGUUGCUAUCGUCGUGUAAGCAGCAAAGGAGCUACACCGCAGACAGGAAGUGUCAAAGCAUUAAGCAACAGUAGCAACCUAAAAGGAAUGGACAACCAUGUUCCAAAUUUUGAUAUUAUUGGUGAACAUCAUCAAAACAAAAGCCAAGAUUGGAAGUUGCAAAAUGUAAAUCUCCCAUACCAGUCAGGCCAAAACCUUGGUCAUGGGCAAAGCACUAUUAACUGUCAUUCUUCACUGAUGGGUAAUCAAGAUUCAACUAGUACUGCCAACAAUGGGUUUAACGGUAAUACUGGAACAGUCACAAAGAAUAUCAUAUCAACAAGAAGUGACAUUGAUAUGGAGAAAAGAGAAUGCAUUGUUCAGCACAAAACCAACCUAGUGGAGAACUGCAACAGAGUAAAUUAUGAUGGAAUUCCAGAUCUCAGUUAUCAAGAUAUUCUUUUUGAAGACAAUAUUAUUACAAAUGAACUCAUGAAUGUUGUUCGGAAACAGCUUAGGGCUUAAAUUUCCUGUUUCAAGCAUGCAAUGUUGUUCAAUCAAGGUUGGAUCAAAAAGUAUUUCAUGUAGACUCAUUUAAAUGCAAGUCAAAUUCAUGUGAGUGACCUAGGUCCAUGAAGAAGCAAUCUUGAUCGACAUAAAUAUUGCAAAAUUUGGUGUGAAUCCCCGUAAGAUCUGUGUAGAUCCUUAUAAAUCUAGCAGCAAGAAGGGAUUGGGCAGGUUGAUAAUGAGUUCAACUUUAACCCCCCAGUUUAGCAUUGGAGUCUCUAUACCAUUAAGCAAUUAUGAAUUCUUGAAGAAGCAUUGGAGUCUCUAUGCCAUGAAGCAAUUAUGAAUUCUUCAAGAUGAUUGGAACUGUUCCAUAAUUAAAGAUCUUAAGGGGUUCUAGAGAGUUUUCCUUCACAAUUUAUCUGGUAACCGCACGGAAAUCAGACCAUUGCCUCCAGAGAAAGGGCUUGAGGACAUACUGAGUCCACACGGUCAAAUCUCAACACACACGAUUUGGUGUACAAAGGUAAAAGUAGUAUGCAAAUGCGUACAUGCUAAGUUUCCAGUUUCUUUCUUAGCUCAUGCUAACAAGACAUCCCUCAAGUGGCGAAAGGCUUGAAUUGCAUUAGUUUGGUUUGGUGUGUUCUUUUGUGGAUUUGGCAUUAGGAGUCUCCAAAUAGUCUCUUCAAAAUCGAGGGGAGUAUUUUCUAACUCCAGUAGUCAUGUACAGGUUUCGUUUGACUAAAGGAAACAAAGUGGUGUUAGUUUGUUCCCUUUUAAUUUAUGGCUAAUCCUACUUAAUUGUUUUAUUCCUCCUAGUCAUCCAGAACAUCUAUCCUUGUAUUCAUUUAGUUGCAAUACAUUGUGUAAUUUAAAUUGCAUUAAGUUUGUGGAAUGUAAACUUAUCAUCACUAAGCACCGGCAGAUUAACAAAUGUAGAACAUUAUCAUUAUUGUCAAAAUUUAUUAUGAAUCGAAGCACCGUGCUUAAUACUGUUA